GUUGAAUUUAAGAGAUUCCGUUCAUACCAAAUUAUUGUUCUUGGACCAUUAACUAUCUCUUCUCCUCAGAUGAAGUUUGUCAGGAGGUACCUUGGUCCCUAAUCCACAUUUAACUCAUGGUGGAUCCAACCCAUAGACGGAUGUCCCCAAGAUGUCCGUGUCCUUAUCCCUCAACUGUGGAAUAUGUUACCUUACAUGGUAAAAGGGAGUUUGCAGAUGCGAUUAGAUUAUGGAGUUUGAGAUGAGGAGAUUAUCCUGGGUUAUUUAGGUGGGUCUGAUGUAAUCACAAGCAUUCUUGUAAUGGAAAGAAGGAGGCAGGACAGUCAAAGAUGAAGAUGUGUAGCAGGGCCAUGAGCCAAGGAAUUCAGACAGCCUCUAAAAACUGGAAAAGGCAAGGAAACCGUCUCCCCUAGAGCAUCCAGAAGGAAUUCACUUCUACCUCCAGGAUUGUAAGAACGUAAAUUUAUGUUGUUUUAAGUUACUACAUUUGUAGUAGUUACAGUAAGAAGAGGAAACUAAUAUAGCCCUUUGGACAAACUCAGCCUUAGUAAAGAAUCUUAGGGUGAACAUAGGGUAGGCUUUCAAAGUGGGGCCCCCGUUCCAUCUGUUAUGUCAAGGCCAAGAUUCCUCGGGCUUCUCACAUGUUGCUUUACUCAUGGAAUCCUUAUUGUCUGGGGCUUCAUGACGUCACUUCAGGAAUCUCCUCAGCCUGUCUAGGGUCAAGUGUCCAUCCCUAUGGUCCAGGGGAUGGAAUGCCCUGAUAUGCCAUAUCUCAUAUCUGAGUCAGGCGAUCUCUGGAAUCAGGGAAUGGUCUCAUCCCUUCAAAUUACACUGUCAAAGGAAAAUUAGAGUGAUGUGAUCAGAAAAAAAAAAAAACAAAAACAAACAACCAGAGGCCAGGCAAACAUAAAACACAGAUGUUGAUUAUGGAGGCUGAGGAAAUCAGGAGACGUUUUGAAAGUGGUUUUAUUGGAAUACUAAAGCAACCUUGUAUUAUAAACCUUGUAUUCUGCAGCUCAAAAUAUAGCGAGAUCCCUUUUGUUGCUUUACAUCAUUUGGUCAGAUUCAAGGAUUUUAAGAUUCUUGCAGGUAAAUCUGAUGCAUGUAUCUGACUUCCUGUAUCUGUAAGAGAUAACAGAGUCCCCAUAAUGCCUAGGAGCAGGGCCCCUUGACGUGACUGAAACAUUUCCUGCCUAACAAAGUCUGCCUUAUCUAAUAGUUACCCUUUCCAGCUUCAAGCAGCAAAUCACUUGGAUCAUGUGCUUUUAAGCCAGCCUCACAAAUGAUGUCCAGGAAGUAAAGUUAGCCCAUUCUCAGACAGGGGCUAUUAAAAGGCUUCAAUAAAGAAAAGUUCAAAUGCAUGCAGAUCAAGGAAAAAGAAAAUUACCCAAAUGGAAGGUCUGAGAUGGAAGAAGGGGAAACGCAGCAGCUAGGGAGCAGAGAUGAGCUGAAGAGUAAAAAGAGAAGCUGACCUUAUCUGAACACCAGCUCCUCUCCCCAUGCCACUACGGGACUGCAGCCUAAAACACUGUCAGGCCGAGGGAGGGUCUCUGUUGUAUAAAAAACGUGAAGUCUUACUACACUGAGCUGGACAUUUGGUUGCUGAGACGAAACUGUUCUUAUAACUGAGAGGCCAGCAAAGCUUUGGGAUUGACCUGAAUGCAAACAGGGGCGUGGAAAGAAUCACACCACAGAGAGGAUUUGAAGGAACAGUGGCAGAUAGAAUAAAGUGACUGUGAUCAUC